rnacentral:tmRNA from 1 species
CGGGAUUGAAUCGUGAUGGAAAGGCGUGCCGGGUUCCGAGCUCCCGUAAAACGAUCGGAAAACCAUAACUGCCAAUCAGCAGUUUGCAUUCGCCGCCUAAGUAAUUAGGUAGCCGCUCCGGCUCCGGAGCCCGCAUCGGAGCUAGUGGGCGUCAUCAGGCGGGAUAGGCCGAGGGCUUCGGUCCGUAGCCGCAGGCCGAGAUCAACCGGGCUAGGCGUGCGCCGUUCUUGCCGGCUCUAAAGCGCGCGCCGAAUCUCAGGAGUCGGCUACGCACGUAGGCGUUCCAUGGCGGGCUUUCUCGGACGCGGGUUCAACUCCCGCCGCCUCCACCA